UAUUUGGCUGUUGUUAUCCUUUGUAGGUGAAAGUUCCACAUCAAGGAAACAAGGUGAUGAGGUGGAUGAAAAUAGACGUUAUCAUCUCUCGUACCUGAAAAAGAGACCUAACCCUCAUGAUGAGGAUGGGAGUUCAGAUAUAGAUGAGCCCAGGAACAAGCUUGGUUAUGAGGCCCUCACAGAAGAAGAGGAGAGGGAAUCGAACCA